rnacentral:lncRNA from 1 species
GAACUGAAAAAUAUAUUUCUCUUGGAAUUUUUUCUUUAAUAUGUAAUCUUGCCAAGAAGCAAGAUACAGAUUUUUCAACAUUCUUAAAAGAGACACGCAUAAUUUUAGAUCAUUUUUAUCCUUAGGUUAAAAAGUAGAAGGCUCGGGUAUUUUUUUUUUUAAACAAAGAAUUAUCUUAUUCAUACAAACGUACAUAAAAGCUAUAAAGCACUAAAAUUUAAAUAUCGAAGUCAUGGCAAAGAGGCAGCAAUUCAACAUCCAGGCAAUCUGGUGCUUUUCAGGCAGGUUGAAACUCUCAAAAGGUAAAGGAUUGAAGGGAAAGAAGUUUUUUGUUUUGUUUCUGGAUGGGCAUCAUCCGAGUUGGGAACACAGCUCCCCCAAAGCUAAAAUGGCAAAUGAACACCGAUGAAGAGACUUUUACAGAUAUUUCAUCUACAAUGUUAUUCAUUCUUACAGUUGCUCUUAAAAGAACGGUGGUGAGAGCUAUUCGACAGAAUUCCAAAGCAUGAUCAUAUCACAUAUUUUAAAAUACAAUUUGGAACUAUCUGCCUAGCAAAGGAGAAGACAGACCUCUUCCAGAAGAAGAUACCAUCUGGGGUCUCUGCAAUUUUUAUGCACAUUAUCCAGCAUUCAGUCAAAAAGUUCUAAUCGGAGUUCCUGUCGUGGCUCAGUGGAAAUGAAUCUGACUAGCAUCCAUGAGGACGCAGGUUCGAUCCCUAGCCUUGUUCAGUGGGUUAAGGAUCCAGUGUUGCCAUGAGCUGUGGUUGUAGGUCACAGACACAGCUUGGAUCUGGCGUAGGCUGGCAGCUGCAGCUCUGAUCGGAUCCCUAGCCUGGGAACCUCCAUAUGCCAUGAGUGAGGCCCUAAAAUUAAAAAUAAGACCAAAAAAAAAAAAAAAGAAAAAAUUCAAAGGAAAGAGAAUCACAGAUGAUACAGAUAUCAGAGUUAGCAAAACAAAGACAGCAAAAUAAUGGAUGCAUGUGCUGAAGAAAAUAGGUGAAAUGAUGAAAGAUUUCACCAGAGAACUGUAAUCAGUAAAAAUAAAUCAACUAGAAACCCUAGAACUGAGCAAUAUAAUAAUUGAGAUAAAGAUUUCAAUAGGUGAGCAGUUCCCAUCGUGGCUCAGUGGUAAUGAACCUGACUAGCAUCCAUGAGGAUGUGAGUUCGAUCCCUGGCUCUGCUCAGUGGGUUAAGGAUCUGGUGUUGCUGUGAGCUGUGGUGCAGCUCGCAGAUGCAGCUCAGAUCUGGCAUUGCUGUGGCCCUGGCUAAGCCGGAAGCUACAGCUCCGAUUUGAUCCCUAGCCUGGGAACUCAUAUGCCAUGGGUGUGGCCCUAAAAAGAUUAAAUAAAUAAAUAAAUAAAAAUAAAAAAUUUCAAUAAGUGGACUUAUAGCAGAAUAAACCUAGCAUAAAAUUGGAUUAAUAAACCAGAAAAUGGGUCAAAAGAGAAUAAUCACAUAAUAGAGAAAGGAAAAAUAAAAAAUAGAAUAAGUAUGUUGAACACAAUUAGAACACAUGUUCUAACCUGUGGAAUUCUAAAAGAACAGAUAAUUAGGCAAUGGCAAUUUGAAGAGGUAAUGGCCAAAAUUUCUCAAGACUGAUUAAAGAUGUAAGACCACAGAUUCAAGAAUCUCUGAACCUCAAGCUCCCAAGCAGAAUAAGUACAAAGAAAAUGACUCCCAGAUUCAUAACAGCAAAAGUGCUUAAAAAAAAAGACAAAUUGAAAGCUACAAAAGCACCCUGGAGUGGGGUGGCGGGGAAACAUAACUAAAGGAAUCAUAGUUGAGGUGCCAUCUCCAUUUCUCAACAAAAAUGAUGGAAAUCAGAAGACAACAGAAUGAUACUUUUAAGCCUGCACCUGUAGCAUAUGGACGUUCCCAGGCUAGGAGUCAAAUCACAGCUGCAGCUGCCGGGCUACACCACAGCCACAGCACCACAGGGUCCAGGCUGUGUCUGCAACCUACAUCGUAGCGCACCGAAACACUGUGAGUGAGACCAGGGAGCUAACCCGCAUUCUCACGGACGCUAUGUUGAGUUCUUAACCUGCUGAACCACAGUGGGAACUCCCCAGAAUGAUAUUUUUGAAGUUCUAAGAGAAAGUACCUCUUACCUCUAAGUCUGUACUCAGUGAAAACAUCCUUCAAAAAUACACAGUAAAGAUAUUUUUAGACAAACGAAAAACGAGAGUUCAUCACUAUCACAUCUACUGAAAAUACAAGGACUAAAGGAAAUUUUUUUAGGCAGAAAGGAAUGGUUCCAAAGUGGAACACAUAAAUAUAGGGCAAGCGCACACACACACACACACACACACACACACACACAGAGGAGUGUUAUUCAGCCAUGAGAAAGAAUGAAAUUCUGCCAUUUGUGACAAUGACGAUGGUUUUAGAGGGCAUUAUGCUAAGUGAAAUAAGUCAGAGAAAGACACGUACUGUAUGUUUGUACUUAUGUGCGGAAUCUAAGAAAGCUGAGCUUGUAGAACCAAAGGGUAGGAUGGUGGUUGUGGGGGUCGGGGAGAUGGGAAAUGUUGGUCAAAAUGUGCAGCUUGCAGUUAGAAGAUGAAUCGGUCCCGGGAAUGUGACGCAUGGCGUUGUGAUUAUCGGCCAUAAUACUGCCCCGGGCACUUGAAAAUGGCUCAGGAGGUAGAUCCUAAGUGUUCUCACCGCCGCAGAAGAAAGGGUAGCGAUGUGACAGGAUGACGGCGUUGGCGAAUUUGUCCCAACAGCCUGAGCGGACCAAGACCUUCUCCUUUCCACAACCAGCCUCCGUUGUGUUCCUGAGGCAGUUUGGAUGGACAGGCCGAUAAGACUUCGCUUCGCCUCUAAAGGACGUCGUUGGGAUCGGGGUCCCUGUGAGCAGAAGCUUACAAUCCUCGCACGGGAGGAGAACACAUUGGAAAAUAUACAGAAUCAACCUUCAUCUGGGGAACACUGAAAUACGUUCUAAUGAAAU